rnacentral:rRNA from 1 species
UACGAAGGGGACUAGCGUUGUUCGGAAUUACUGGGCGUAAAGCGCACGUAGGCGGAUUUGUAAGUCAGGGGUGAAAUCCCGGGGCUCAACCUCGGAACUGCCUUUGAUACUGCAAAGCUCGAGUGCGAUAGAGGUGGGUGGAAUUCCUAGUGUAGAGGUGAAAUUCGUAGAUAUUAGGAAGAACACCGGUGGCGAAGGCGGCCCACUGGAUCGGUACUGACGCUGAGGUGCGAAAGCGUGGGGAGCAAACAGG